ensembl:lncRNA
UGAAAACGACGGGGCGUUCCUGCUGAUAGAGGCGGCCGGUUUUCUCCCGUAUUGGCGAGUCCUGAGAACAGGGGGGGGCUGCACAUUCUGCUGUGAGAGACCGAAGAGCAGCAGUGGGAGCUAUGUGCUGAAUGCCUAACCAUCUCAGAAGCAUUAGAAUUGUUAUUUGCCCAUUCAGAGGAUUUCCUUGCUGCAGAACCCAUUCAAAGAGCUGUGUAUAAACACAUCAGUGGCUAUGCUGAGAAAAUCCAGGCCUCUUAAUAUUGAGAGCACAGCAAGCAUUGUGGCAGUGCUGAAACAACACCCAUUGUUGGCGGCUGCAGCAGUCCAGGACUUCUACCUGCAGAACCCUGCUGAUGUGCAGCCUGUGCAGCAGAAGUUUGCCCCAGGCAGGAGCAAUGGAUAUGUGCUGCUCCUUCUGUCCCACCCUCAGCACAAGGACCAUGAGCUGGGCAUGAAGCUGGUAAUUAUUUUCUAUUCAUUUUGUACUUAGUUUUGUUCGGGGUUUGGUCUGAGAGGUGACUCUUUGCUUGUAGGUGGCCUGCCUGUAGAGAGAAGCAUGAGCAAAUUGUCACUUCUGAUUUUUCUGCCAAUGCAGUAUAGUUUGGGGGCUACUUACAGAAUACUCUCGUGCUUCCACCUCU